UUCCACGCAGAGCUGUGCUGGAAGUGGUGAAAGCAAGCUGCGGGGAUGGGCAGCCUGGGGAGGCUGUGGAGGCUCCUGCAGGAACACGUACGAAGAAGCUAGGAAUCCCACCAAAUGGAAAUCUUGACUGUCACCUGCCUUGAAAAGCUGGCAGAAUAGGAGCAAGGAUCAGCUGGAACUGGCUUGACCAUCUGUGCUAGAUUGGGUUUGCCAGAAAAGGACACUUAGUAGUCCACUGAGGGCUGCCUUUGGGCAAAUGUACACCAACAGCUGUGACAUGCUGCAUUUAAUAAAGUCUUGCUGAUUCAGAUCAACAACACUUCAGCACAAAUCGCUUUACUAAUUAAGAACUGAAGAGACAAGGAGUGAAAGCUGCUGAGGGCCUCUAUAAAAUCAGACCACAUAUUACAGACUUCAGACUUCAUUUAAACUGAAGAUGGAAGAAACCUGGACUAAUUUUUGAAGAUCAACACUCUCUGAGUAGUGGAGUACCUUUCUCUGCAGAGAAACAAAAGAUGGGGGAUUGUGUGCCUAUGGGAGGAUGCACUGACAGCAUGUGAGAAGAGAUGAACUCAAUUUGCAAACCCAGAGUUGCUCUAAAGGAGAGAUGGGCACACACAUGGCAGCACUUGUCUGCAAGAAGCACAUGUGAUAAAGCAGUUGGGGACGCUUGUGAAUUUUCUCCUCAGCUUUCAGACUAUUUCAGAGCAGGGUAUGGAUCAGAAACACUCUGAUUUGUUCUUUUCCAAUACCAAAUUCUGACAAAUGGCUUUCCUCCACAUACAUGCUAUUCUUUCCUUUUCUCAUCCCAUGCAACAGACAAGGGUAGUUAAAGUGAAACAAUUUGCUGAACUCUUCUAUCACUUCUGAACGUUAAUGGUUCAAACAUUAGUCUUGUUCUAAAUGAUCCAACAGCUAAUUUCAGAAAAACAAAAUAUAGGUGAGGAGCUACUACAAAGCAAGCCAUUCCUUGCUUUGUUUAGUCCUGGUACAUGACCAGUAGUUACAAAACAAUGCAAAGUAACUAGCAAAUUGAUCACAGAAUCAUAAAAUCACUUGAGUUGGAAGGAACCUUUAAAGAUCAUCUAGUCCAACUCCCCAGCAAUGAACAGAGACUCCACAUCUACAGCUCAAUCACAUUGCUCAGAGCCCUGUCCAGCCUGGCCUUGAAUGUCUCCAGGGAUAGGGCAUCCACUCCUCUAUGGUCAUCCAGUGCUACACCAUCCUUAUUGUAAAAAAAAGCCUUUUUUUUUCUUGUAUCUAAUCUAAAUCUCUCCUCUUUUAGUUUGAAACCAUCUCCCCUUGGCCUGUCACAGCAGGCCCUGCUAAAGACUCGUUUCCCUUCUAUGCAAUAACAAAAGCUGGGAACAUCAGACU